rnacentral:rRNA from 1 species
GACGAACGCUGGCGGCGUGCCUAAUACAUGCAAGUAGGACGCAGUUGCGAACGGGUGAGUAACGCGUCGGUAACUGCCUAUUAGAGGGGGAUAACUAUUGGAAACGAUAGCUAAUACCGCAUACUAGUAGAUGGACCUGCGUUGUAUUAGCUAGUAGGUUGGGUAAUGGCCUACCUAGGCGACGCUACAUAGCCGACCUGGGAGGGGGAACGGCCACACGGGGACGGAGAAACGGCCCAGACUCCUACGGGAGGCAGCAGUAGGGAAUCUUCGGCAAUGGGGGGAAACCUGACCGAGCAACGCCGCGUGAGUGAAGAAGGUUUUCGGAUCGUAAAGCUCUGUUGUUAAGGAAGCGGUACUUAACCAGAAAGGGACGGCUAACUCCGUGCCAGCAGCCGCGGUAAUUC